GUGAGGAAUAUUGGUCAAUGGACGAGAGUCUGAACCAGCCAAGUCGCGUGAAGGAAGACGGUUCUAUGAAUUGUAAACUUCUUUUGUGCAGGAAUAAAGUGGGUUACGUGUAACCUUUUGUAUGUACUGUACGAAUAAGGAUCGGCUAACUCCGUUCCAGCAGCCGCGGUAAUACGGAGGAUCCGAGCGUUAUCCGGAUUUAUUGGGUUUAAAGGGUGCGUAGGUGGAUUGAUAAGUCAGCGGUGAAAGUUUGCAGCUUAACUGUAAAAUUGCCGUUGAAACUGUCGGUCUUGAGUGCAAAUGAGGUAGGCGGAAUGUGUUGUGUAGCGGUGAAAUGCUUAGAUAUAACACAGAACUCCGAUUGCGAAGGCAGCUUACUGGGAUGCAACUGACACUGAUGCACGAAAGCGUGGGUAUCAAACAGGAUUAGAUACCCCGGUAGUCC
rnacentral:rRNA from 1 species